AGUGAACGCUGGCGGUAGGCCUAACACAUGCAAGUCGAACGGCAGCACAGAGGAGCUUGCUCCUUGGGUGGCGAGUGGCGGACGGGUGAGGAAUACAUCGGAAUCUACUCUGUCGUGGGGGAUAACGUAGGGAAACUUACGCUAAUACCGCAUACGACCUACGGGUGAAAGCAGGGGACCUUCGGGCCUUGCGCGAUUGAAUGAGCCGAUGUCGGAUUAGCUAGUUGGCGGGGUAAAGGCCCACCAAGGCGACGAUCCGUAGCUGGUCUGAGAGGAUGAUCAGCCACACUGGAACUGAGAGACGGUCCAGACUCCUACGGGAGGCAGCAGUGGGGAAUAUUGGACAAUGGGCGCAAGCCUGAUCCAGCCAUACCGCGUGGGUGAAGAAGGCCUUCGGGUUGUAAAGCCCUUUUGUUGGGAAAGAAAUCCAGCUGCUAAUACCCGGUUGGGAUGACGGUACCCAAAGAAUAAGCACCGGCUAACUUCGUGCCAGCCGCCGCAGUAA
rnacentral:rRNA from 1 species